CACGUAGUUAGCCGGGGCUUCUUGGUCAGGUACCGUCAUUGCUUUCUUCCCUGCUGACAGAGCUUUACAUACCGAAAUACUUCUUCACUCACGCGGCGUCGCUGGAUCAGGGUUCCCCCCAUUGUCCAAUAUCCCCCACUGCUGCCUCCCGUAGGAGUUUGGGCCGUGUCUCAGUCCCAAUGUGGCCGUCCACCCUCCUACGACGGCCGCUAC
rnacentral:rRNA from 1 species